rnacentral:misc_RNA from 1 species
UACAGAGGGAGCAAGCGUUAAUCGGAAUUACAGCGCGUAAAGCGCGCGUAGGUGGUGGGUUAAGUUGGAUGUGAAAGCCCCGGGCUCAACCUGGGAACUGCAUCCAAUACUGGCCGACUAGAGUAGAGUAGAGGGUGGUGGAAUUUCCUGUGUAGCGGUGAAAUGCGUAGAUAUAGGAAGGAACACCAGUGGCGAAGGCGACCACCUGGACGGAUACUGACACUGAGGUGCGAAAGCGUGGGGAGCAAACAGG